AUCCUUCUUUUUUAUUUCAUCCUCCUUUCCAGAGAUAAAUUAAACUGCAUAGGACAAUGAUUAAAUUCUGUUACUCUUACAAGUGAACUGUGCAUUCCUGAGAUGUAUUAUAUGUAGGAGGGGAGGACUUGCUGAGUUUACACAGGUUUAUGAGUGUGCAUGGACAGAAGGAUGUGGGAACUGACCCAUGGGGAGAAAAUCAGAGAGGCUGCAACAUGAACCCAACCCUUUCAAGACACUGGUGAAUCUCUGCAGGAGAUGUGACUUGACUGGAGACUCUGGUGAUAACAAGUCUGCAGGAGAAACAGUAUCUUUUUGUGGCUUGAAAAGCACCCAGAAUACUUUGAGUCCUAGCACAAUAGAUAUAGAAAUAAUAAUGAAGCUUGAUGUAUGCCAGAGACCAG
rnacentral:lncRNA from 1 species